CUCGGUGGAGAGAUGCCUCCGACAGGAUGGCAGAAAAGAAAUGAGAGACGAGAAGCCAGCGCCAGGAAGAGCUGGGAAGUGCAACUGAACGAGGGAGGGAAUCUGACUAGUCGAUGCAGCUAGGACCAAUCGCUGGGGAGGAAGAGUCCAAUAACCCCUUGGAUUUAUACAACAGAUAACUCCAAAGAGCUCAGAAGGCUUACAGGAUGAGGGAGAGCCCGAGCACUUGAUCGGAUCAUGUGCAAGACAGACUGGAGCAAGGAGAAGCUGAUGCAGUAACGCAGGCUUUAGAGGAUGAGAGCCUUAAGUGGCCCAACGCUGGGGAAAUGAGAAACAAUGCUGACGUAUCACAGAGGAAAACCCAGUAGAUAUGAAAGGUCGAUUUCAGUCCGGGGUCUAUAGCCCCCGUCCCGAAGAGGUCAGGCGGAGUAGGAGACAUGGAAGAAGAAUCAGAUUGUAAUUUUUAACCGAAUCGCAAUCGAAGGGCGUUUGCUUUAUGAUGCCUUCGCUGUUCAGACCUCUGGGUCAAAGCCCAGCUACAGUGUCGUCCUAAGGACACAGAUAUCGGCACGGUGGAGGUAGUGGGAGGCAGCGAUGGAGGUGACCUUUUCCUUUCAUCCAAUCGCAUGAACGACGUCAAUAACUGAAUGUGAGAUAAAGAAAUGAGCUGUCGCCGCCAAUUAACAUGCGGGCAGCGAUCUGCUCGUGGGCUUGAAAAAACCGGAAUCUCGUGCCAGGCUGCAGGAUAGGGGAUGGAGGAGUCGUGAACUGCCUCCUCCACGCCUCAGGUCAUCCUUAGGAUGUGCCCGGCAAGGUCAAAUGAAGGAAAGAAGAGCGGCGAGGGUUCAAUCUUCAGGCUCUCCCCCUCCCCCUCCCCUGGGGUGAGGAAUCAGUGACCUCAACGCCGGGCGAUUCAAAGCUGCGGAACGGCUAUCUCUGGAGGUGAUAGCUUGCUCUUGCUUUUUGGUGACCGAGCCGUGUGUACAGAAGGAAAUAAACAAGAGGCAUCUGGGUACUAGGUAAUUUGGACUGUAGUAACACAGGCUACGUCGGCCUACGUGCUUCUCUGCAUUGAUUUGUGGACAGGGAAUGUGGCUACAGACCCUGUUGAAUUGUAGUCUCCCAAGAGCCUAGAACAAUGUGCUGCACAAAGAAAACACUCAAUAAAUACCAUUAAUGAUAGAUGAUGAUGGCACACAAGGAGCAUAUUUCAGUUUUGGGGGUUUUUUUAUGGUAUUUGUUAAGUGCUUACUAUGUAUCAGGCACUGUAUUAAGCGCAGGGGAAGC